AUUGGGGGUUUCUGCUGGCCUCGCGGUCGGCUCCCCUUGAAUGCAUUAGCUGGACUUUCCGACUAUGAGCGGUUCACGGUGUGAUAACUAUCUACGCCUGGUAAAUUCCACUUCUUGUCUGGUCGAGCUUCAAAACCGUCUUUUGACAAACCAACUUAAGAUCUGACCUCAAAUCAGGUAGGACUACCCGCUGAACUUAA
rnacentral:misc_RNA from 1 species